rnacentral:tRNA from 1 species
GACCGCGUAGUUCAGUUGGCAGAGCAUUGGGCUAGCAUUCCAAAGGUCGUAGGUUCGAUUCCCACCGUGGCCG